CCCUAUGGGGUGCGGAAUGGAUGAAAAAACAAAAGAACGUAUAUUUGAACCUUUCUUCACUACGAAGGAGAAGGGUAAGGGAACCGGUCUGGGACUUGCCACCAUAUACGGAAUUGUGAAACAGAGUGAAGGUUUUAUUUACGUGUAUAGCGAGUUGGGGAAAGGAACGGCCUUUAAGGUAUAUCUGCCUCGAGUGGAAGAAAGCAAUGAAGAAAUCCACAAAGAGAUUCUUUCCGAAGGCUCUUUGAAUGGAACGGAAACAGUUCUCCUUGUGGAGGAUGACGAGGGAGUCCGCCAGUCGAUCAAAAGGAUGCUGCAACAGUAUAACUAUACCCUUGUAAUAGCGGCUAAUGGCAAGGAAGCCAUAGAGGAUUAUGAAAAAUAUAAUGGAAAGAUUGACUUACUCUUGACGGAUGUGGUGAUGCCUGGAAUUGGCGGGAGAGC
rnacentral:rRNA from 1 species